UACAGAGACUGCAAGCGUUAUUCGGAUUCACUGGGCGUAAAGGGUGCGUAGGCGGUCGGGUAAGUCUGAUGUGAAAUCUCACAGCUUAACUGUGAAACUGCAUUGGAUACUAUUCGGCUAGAGAGUUGGAGGGGGGACUGGAAUUCUUGGUGUAGCAGUGAAAUGCGUAGAUAUCAAGAGGAACACCAGUGGCGAAGGCGAGUCCCUGGACAACUUCUGACGCUGAGGCACGAAAGCUAGGGGAGCAAACAGG
rnacentral:rRNA from 1 species